UAUAUGUAUAUGUUCUCUAUAAAUCAUAUUAUGAUGAAACUCCAAAUAGCAUGUUCUACGACCCUAAGCCAUUUCUUAAAGUCCUAGUUUUGGGAGACUGCAGCGUUGGGAAAACAUCACUGAUGAAUCGUUAUGUAAACAAACGCUUUACACAUAUGUACAAAGCAACGAUUGGCACAGACUUUUGUACAAAAGAGGUUGUUAUCAACAAUCGCAUGACCACAAUGCAGAUUUGGGACACGGCUGGUCAGGAACGCUUCCAAACACUCGGCGUGGCUUUCUAUCGCGGCACGGAUUGUUGUGUGCUCGUUUACGAUGUUACUUCUCCCAACUCCUUCAAGAAUUUGAACUCGUGGCGCGAUGAAUUCUUAAUACAGGCCAGUCCACGGAAUCCCGGAAACUUUCCCUUUGUUGUGCUCGGGAAUAAAGCUGACCUAGAUGGGCAAAAUGUAUGUCAAAUUGCUCAAAUGGGUAAUUUCUAACAUAAGUCCGUAUUUAAAUUUAGGUAUUAACUCGGUGCGCUCAGCAAUGGUGUAAAAUGAACCACAUGCCCUUCUAUGAGACCUCAGCAAAGGAUGGCAGUAAUGUGGAUAAAGCGUUUGCAGAAAUAGCAAAAAAAGCAAUGGAAGAGGCGGCCGCGCAACAGAACGUCCUCGAUUUUGACCAUGCCAUAGUCCUAGAGAAUGUUGAUCGCUCUCAGAAAAAGAAAUGUUGCACUUAAAUAAAUAAAUAAAAUAAUAAUUAGCAUCAUAA